CUAAAAUCGGUGAAGAGAAGCAAGUAGAUUUAUAAACAGACUUAAAGAGAGUCACGGUUGGUGGAAAGUGAUAGUUAUGUAUAAAUCGAAUGGGUCUCUGAGAUUUAAGAUGAACUUUAAGUAGUCUCAUACGGUGCUCCCGUUACAGAGUGUGGAAUUUCUAUUCCGAAAGAGGAGAAGUUUAACUUCUUGAAUUAGGUGGUACCGCGAUAAUUCGCCCUAUGG
rnacentral:ncRNA from 1 species